rnacentral:lncRNA from 1 species
UGUAGAUAGGCAGGCCGAUUCUAAGGACGACUAAAAGUCGAUUCGCGGACAGAACAUAAUGGAACGACGGGUGAUUCCGUUUACUGUUAUCGAAUCCACGAACGACCCUAUGUCGAUCCUUAGUAAUCGUGUACUUUGAAAUAAGAAUCUAUCCUCCGUAAUUUCAUGCAGUCAAGGACGUCCAUGCGUCGAGAUGUCUUGAACGUGGUUUGGCACGAGUCGGUCACGCGUGAAUCCUCACAGCCACCCGUCAGUCUGAGUUGUAACCGAAAUGGCAUUUGGC